rnacentral:rRNA from 1 species
UACGUAGGGUGCAAGCGUUGUCCGGAAUUAUUGGGCGUAAAGAGCUCGUAGGCGGCUUGUCGCGUCGGCUGUGAAAACCUGCGGCUCAACCGUGUGGUCUGCAGUCGAUACGGGCAGGCUGGAGUUCGGUAGGGGAGACUGGAAUUCCUGGUGUAGCGGUGAAAUGCGCAGAUAUCAGGAGGAACACCGGUGGCGAAGGCGGGUCUCUGGGCCGAUACUGACGCUGAGGAGCGAAAGCCAGGGGAGCAAACGGG